AGAAGUCCAGAACAUGUUAGUCCAUCAUCUAAGCCCAGAAAGAGAGGCUCCCCACGGUAUAGCCCAGUAGACCACCACGAGUUGGCCCAAAUGGAUGACGCACAGUCGCACACCUCCGUCGUUGCCCAAAAUAUACCGUUGAUCAAAUUGUAAGGCGCAAAGACGAACCGACACCGUCCUUUCCCCUCAACCCAUGUUCCGCUGUUAUUUUUUGCCCUAGUUCUUUUCCCAGUCGCAGAUCAUACAAGAGCCGCUAGGCGGCCAGAGUUGGUACUGUCGGCUGAUCGACGAUCGCGCGUGUACACGGCAGAGCGCACGGCGCCAAGAAUCCAUCCCUCGCUAGCUCGCUCCCUGCCCCCCCCUUUGGUUCUGAUCUUUGCAGUUGGCAGUGGGCAACACGCCACAUCAAUUCAGUUUCACAUCCACAACUCACAGAUUCAAGUACUGAAGGUAUAAUUGCUAAUUAGAUGUACUGAUCCUUUCAUUUAUAAAAUUAGGAUCUCUUCUCUCAUGUAGCCAUGCUGAUGCUUAGUUGAACUAGUCAUGCUAAUUCGAUUUCUGAAUUUAUCUACCAUUGCAGGGUGUAGGCAGGGGCACAUUUUUCAGCUUGAUGUCCAAUACGGUGUAGUAUAGACAUACAAGAUUAAGUAAGUUAGUCUGACCAAUUGAUGCUUGUUCUUCCUGUUGCAAUGGUCGACGUUGAGAUGGUCUUUUCAUCAAUGAACUAUAUAUAACAAACAAGCUAAGAAGCAAGAUGGGGCAAAAUUACUUGAAUGAUUGCUGGGUCACAUUCGUUGAAAGGGAAGUUUUUCUAGCAAGUUAACGAUGAGGACAUUUUCACAGCAUCAAGGAUCACAAAGUUAUCUGUAAAUUGUAAGGUUUCUUAUCAUUUGCUAUUUUCUCUCCUCUAUAUACAUUAGAUUUUGCAAACUUCUACUUUUAUAUGUUAAACAUUACAAAGUUAUGAUCAAUUUUUAUCUAUAUAAUAUAUUAUUCAAUAUCUUUAUAUAGUUUAGAACUAGUACAAUGCUCCUGUAAUCGGUUAUAUGCACCAAAAGAAUGGCUAUAGGAUUUCAGAAAAAAAUUCUAAAUUUUUGAAUACAGAACCCUCAAUUCCUGGGCCCGCCCCUGGUCGACCAUACAUGUUAAGGGGAUGAGAAUAAUUUUCUGAACCUAUUUAAUAUACCAAAACUGUGCUUAAAGUGCGUGUGAAAUGCUGAUAAGCCAGUGAAUGAGCUGUAAAACUCUGUCAGGCAAAAGGGCAUUACCCAUGCUAUAAACACCACUAACCACACUGCGAAAGAAAAUGUAACUUUCCUGAUACAUUUUCCACAUGUUACUAAACGUAUCAGAAAUUCCAACCAUAUAUAAGAGUUCCCCCUUUUAUGGAAUUGGACUGCUCUUGGGUUAUCUAUCCCUUAACCAUACAAACUCUGUAGGUGUUCCCAGCAGGGAGAUCAACCAAUAAGUUGCACUUUCCACUACCUAAGUUAUGAAUAAUUCAAUUUCUUCUUCUUCGGAUGGCCCCGCUCUCCGCUCCCCCUAGCUCUUCCCAGCCCCGCCUCCGUCGACUCCACGCUGGUAGCCCUCCGCCCCGCCCAGGCAGUCGACGCUUCCCUCCCGUGGCCACACGGCGGAGUACUCCAGGCAGCCUACCAAAAGCCGCCUCGGCCCUGCUCUGAGGUGCAUUAGUCGCUUUAUUAGUAUGCUUAGUAACAUGGUUUGAGCAUGCCACAUGAUAUUCAUAAUUUUGCAUGUCUUUAAACACCAUCUUUUAACUCAUGUAAAUAUGCUGAAAAAUAAACACUAGCACACCACUGACAAUUUAAAAUGUUAGAUAUCAUGAAUAGGUAAGGAAAUGAUGCUUCCUCAGAAAGUAAGAUACAAAAGAAAAUGGUAUGAUCCAGUUCAAAUAUUUACAUGAAACUGAAGUACUGAACUCACACAAAUGGACACUAACAGAGAACAUCGCAUAUUGGUAAGUCACCAAGAGAGACUGAUAAUCUGAUAUGCACAUGCCCCAUCAGGAUCAUAAUUUCAAAAGACAAAUGAACAUGCCAGAGCUGUAUCAAACUACUGGUUGAUCAUAGCGGUAUUACCUCCACCUUCUUUAUAAAAUUCUCAAGAUGUCACCUUUCAAUUGCCUCAAAUCACUCAGCUGGCAGGAUCGUUUUUUGUGCUGCCUUCAAACAAGCGCUUUUAGAUCAUCUUGAUAACUGAAGUCUGAAGAUGAUACUCUAGGAGCACAAACAUUUUCUGUAUGCUACCAGCUGAAUAAAAUGAAUACAUGCUUGCCGGUGUACUUCACUCCAUGUCGCAGCGCACGUCUCUCCGCCAAGGACGAUGGCAGGCCAUACCACCGUGCUCAAAUGGUGCUCCUGAAGCGCCUUGGCCUCAUCGGACAGGACGAGCUCAUCACACCGUCAGCCAUGGAUGGCCGCACUCUUCGGCCCGGACCACCAACUGAGUGGGGAGCGCUGAGCAAGCCCAUGAAUCACAUCAGCGUCCAGCUGGUGGAUAUUCUUCCCGUCCAAGACCGGUGGCAGCUGGUGGUCACCGCUUGGCUGCGCAAUCCCUCCGGUGUGCCCCUCAAAUAAGACUUUGAGGCUCGAGAGCCGGUUAGGGUGCCCAACACGGCAGAUCCAGACGAUCCAUGCUGCCCGCAUUCCCGGAUCAUCCCACGGAGCGGCCCACGCUGGUUCACCCGCUGCGUCUCCAUGUCCUAGAGGUCAUCGACCGAACGACGUCCUUCCUGGACCUGCCGUCAAGGUACCAACCAGGCCACCAGGGGACAACGAAAGAGCACUCGCGCUGCCACAACUAUAUAGAGCAUUCUGGUGGGGACGGGUUGACGGUACUGGCCUGGGAAGUGCUCCCCACUCCAGUGGGCACCCUUUCGGUGGCGACGGCGGUCUCGGCAUUGCCAGCGGCUGACACGCUCCACCUGACAGGUUAUGCCGGUCGUUUUCAAAGACUCCACCGCUCCCACCUUGGCAAACGCGGAGGCCCGAGGAUGGCCACAUUUCUCGUCACUGGAGCUCGUGUCGCCGGUUAUCGGGAGGCCUCUUUCGCCACGGGUUGGCUUGCUGGCCUCCAAUUCCACUAUCGUGGGCUCGGCGGCCGUGAGCCUGACCCAGAGCCUCGCACAGUGCCGACUCGACUAUUGGGUGUUGGGUGCUAGGGGGCCCUGCAUGGUCUCGCGCAACGCAGGGAUGGAGGCUCUAGAGGCAGACUUCACGGGCCACGCGCUCCUUGCCACGGUGCAUGGUUGUCGUCCCUCUAUGUCUCCUGAGUCAAUUGUGCAUGCUCUAGAGCAACAGUGAUGGGCGCCGAGGCAGUUCGUGCAGGCCAAGGCAGAAGUUCAUCACAUUCGCUUGAUGGCGCUCUACGACAUGGUCUUCCACCGGUAGGGGCAGAUCUGUUGCAGGGGCACUCGGAUUUGCAUCACCUAGGGAUUCACUUCAGUGGCAAAGCUGAUUCACAGUUGUAUAAGAUCAUGUUUGUUUCAGCUUUGAUUGGAUUCGAAUCACCUGUAGAUUCUCUUCAGUGGUAAAGCUCAUUUGCAGAAUCAGCUUCGCCACUGAAGUACACUUUGAGACUGAUUCCAAUUAACUGUUUGUUUCAGAUCCCAGAUUCAGUUUCACUGGCAAAGCUAAUUCGAAAUAGUUGUUUGUUUCAGAUUAAAGAUUCAACUUCACUGGCAAAGCAGAAUCUGUUUCUUGAAGC
rnacentral:lncRNA from 1 species